CAGCUAUAUGCCACCUUCUUAGAAGACAGAGACAAAGAGGAAAGACAAAGAAUCACAACCUUGGGAAAAAAGAACUCUGUGGUUCAGUGUUUUAUUAACUUGAGUACUACCAAGGGAGGUGGAGGUCCAUUUCCUUUUCUGUGCAGAAUUUUGGUGUUUCUGGAUAAGACCAUGACUCAGGAGGCAUGAGACAUAAGAAAAAUUUUGGAGAACUCCCCCAAAAACUUCACUCAAUUCAUAGGAAGACUGGCUACAUCUACCCUUGAGAAUUCUAGGGAUACUUCAGAGAGAUCCUGUGAGCCAGGAAGAUGUCACAAAAGAGGAGCUGCUGAGGCUUUGUUGCAUUUUGAAUGUAAUCUCUGUUCUGACUACACAAGUAGAACCAGAGAAGUUCUUAUUUACCAAAGGUCGGCAAACCAGAUUUAGUUACAAAACACCUGAGGAUGGCCCAAAUCUCUCCAUUACACAUAGGCAUGACUGCCCCAGAAGCAGGUUGUCCGGGCUACUCUAGGAGAUCAGGAAUCUGAGCCCCAGAGAAGAAAAGGGGUUGGCCCAAGGUCACCUAGACAAUAAGUUGGCAGAGCUAGGAUCCAAACCCAGGUGUUCUGAAUCUUUUGAUCCAAGUUCAAUAUGUUUUCCAUGAACAUCCUCCAUUUCUCAAACUGGUGAGCAGUUUUUCAAAACGGGAGCCUUGUUAAAAGCACUGGUAUAGGAAAUACACCAAUUUUGUUCCUGGUUGGAAAGAGGGCAAAGGGCACCAGCUCUACAAUUCCACCCUGCCCUUUUUCACCUUGCUCGGAAGUCAAUUUGCAUUGUAAUUACUGUCUAUCACCAGGGCUAGGAAAGAACCUCCUCAUUCUGGCUCCACCCAGUUCCUUUUUUGCUAAGUGGCAUCUCUGGUAUGAUUUGAAAGGGACCUCAACUCCUGACUCAGAGACACCAUAGUUAAAAGGAAUUUUGGAUCAUGACCCAGAUAAGGAUUUAGAAUGAGAGCCUUUUCUGUACUGCAGCUGGAGAAAGGGAAUUGAAAGAAUGAACUUAAAAGAAGGCUUAUCUAGCUCAAGGUUGCUUAAACUUUUUCUACUCAAGACCCUUUCCUUCCUUCUUAAACCAUGGAGUUCUUAACACUAGCUUAUUGGCUGAGUGAGACUAAAUAGAGUCUACUUUCAACUGGCUAAGUAGAGAGCCCCAGGACUGCAACUAACAGACUAUGUCUCCAUCCUCCAUGAAGAAGAGGGUCAUAACAGUUGUAUUGGAGCAGAAAUAACAGAGAAGCCAAGGACCCCCAUUUUGUGGAGAAAGCAGUUGGUCUGAUAAUAUCACCAAAAGACAGAAGGAUGUCUGCUUCAUUGGAGUCCUGCUGGGGAAGAACACGUUGCCCACGCAUACCCCUUCAUGAGUGUUCUCUGGCCAUAUGUGUUCUCUUGUUUCCUCUCCCCCACUGGUGGUGUGAUAACUUGUUGGAGAAUGUACUGUACCCACUGUCCAUGAGAAAAAAAAAACUUUCUUAACACUUAUUUUGUUGUGCUGUGCAAUUAAAUUUCUUUUGAACUAAUAUGUUCUCUGGUUGGCUUAGUAAAAAUAAACAUUUGUGAGGAAAUU